rnacentral:RNase_P_RNA from 1 species
AGGGGAAAGCGAGCAGUUACGUUUCGGCUUUGUGCCGAAAUGAGGAAAGUCCGAACUCCGCAGAACAGCGCGCUUCGUAACGCGAAGGCAGUAAGCUUUGAUAUUUCGAUUGAAAGGCGAGCUGACGGAAAGUGCAACAGAAAGCAAACCGCCGAUCCGUUCCGGAUUUAAUUAUUCGAGGGCGGAGGUAAGGGUGAAAUUGUGAGGUAAGAGCUCACGGCUGCGGCGGGCGAUCGUCGUUGAAGGUAAACCCCGCGCGGAGCAAGACCAAAUAGGGCCGCGGUGUCUUUUGUUUUCGAACAAAAGAAAGAAGAGUUGUUCGCUCAAGAGACUUUGUCUCAAAUAUCGCGAUCGGGUAGGUUGCUCGAGGGCAACGGUGACGUUGUUCCCAGAUAAAUGACUGCUUCCUCGGAUUAUCCGAGAAGACAGAAUUCGGCUUACAGCUUUCUCCGCCAA